UGCAGUCGACGGGGUACCCUUGACAGAGGCUUCGGCCAAUGGAUAGGAAUACCUAGUGGCGGACGGGUGAGUAACGCGUGAGCAAUCUGCCUUUAGGAGGGGGAUAACAGCUGGAAACAGCUGCUAAUACCGCAUAAAGUAUGGGGAUGGCAUCAUCCUGAUACCAAAGGAGCAAUCCGCCUUUAGAUGAGCUCGCGUCCAAUUAGCUAGUUGGUGAGGUAACGGCCCACCAAGGCGACGAUUGGUAGCCGGACUGAGAGGUUGAACGGCCACAUUGGGACUGAGACACGGCCCAGACUCCUACGGGAGGCAGCAGUGGGGGAUAUUGCGCAAUGGGGGAAACCCUGACGCAGCAACGCCGCGUGAAGGAAGAAGGUCUUCGGAUUGUAAACUUUUGUCUUGUGGGAAGAUAAUGACGGUACCACAGGAGGAAGCUCCGGCUAACUACGUGCCAGCAGCCGCGGUAAUACGUAGGGAGCAAGCGUUGUCCGGAUUUACUGGGUGUAAAGGGUGCGUAGGCGGCCUUUCAAGUCAGAUGUGAAAACCCGGGGCUUAACCCCGGGCCUGCAUUUGAAACUGUAGGGCUUGAGUGAUGGAGAGGUAAGCGGAAUUCCUAGUGUAGCGGUGAAAUGCGUAGAUAUUAGGAGGAACACCAGUGGCGAAGGCGGCUUACUGGACAUUAACUGACGCUGAGGCAC
rnacentral:rRNA from 1 species